rnacentral:rRNA from 1 species
GACCUGCCCAAUGUGAUGAUUAAUGGCCGCGGUAUUUUGACCGUGCGAAGGUAGCAUAAUAAAUAGUCUAUUAAAUGUGGUCUGGAAUGAAAGGUUUGACGAGGGGCAACUUUUUUAGCCUUAUUGAUGAAUUUAAAUUAUUAGUGAAAAUGCUAAUAUGUUUUAGGGGGACGAGAAGACCCUAUAGAGCUUUAUAUAUAUGGGAAUGAGGUAGUAAAUUUUAUCUUUGAUUAUAUUUUGUUGGGGCGACAGUAAAUUAGAAUCAUUUACUCAUUGAACUAAUAUUGCAGAUUAUUUGAUCCAUUAUUAUUGAUUACUAGACUAAGUUACCUUAGGGAUAACAGCGUAAUUUUAUUGUAGAGUUCUUAUCGAUAAUAAAGUUUGCGACCUCGAUGUUGGAUUAAGAUUCUUUUAAGGCGUAGUAGUUUUAAGGAAGUAGUCUGUUCGACUAUUAAAUUCUUACAUGAUC